AUCACUGGUGUACCCAUGACAUAAACAAGCGAAUAACAUGGUAUGAAGGAACUUUUUGAUGGCCAGAUCCUUCACAUGACGUAGCAUACCUAGGUACCUAUCAUAGAUGUCUACCAGUAGUAGAGAUGAAAUGUCUUGGAAUAAAUGAAGAGUUGACACCACUUGGUCGUAUUUUAGCAAAAUUACCAAUUGAGCCUCAGAUUAGUUGCAUAAUGGUGUUGGGAAAUAUACCAUAGGAUAACAUUAAAAAUGGAUGUAACAGCUCCUUCUGCAAUUGAAGCUUUAAGACCAGCUAUUGAAAAUUUAAUUGUACAUUCGUCAGAAGAACCAGAAUCUAUUGUAAUGUUAAGUGAAACAGAUAUUAAACUUAUAAAUGUUCUAAAAGAAAUAUAUAAUUUUAACUGUGGUAGAUACAAUAUUUCUCCAAUAUCAUUUGUUCAA